rnacentral:rRNA from 1 species
AUUGAACGCUGGCGGCAUGCCUUACACAUGCAAGUCGAACGGCAGCACGGGGCAACCUGGUGGCGAGUGGCGAACGGGUGAGUAAUGCAUCGGAACGUACCUUUCAGUGGGGGAUAACGUAGCGAAAGUUACGCUAAUACCGCAUAUUCUGUGAGCAGGAAAGCAGGGGAUCGCAAGACCUUGCGCUGAUUGAGCGGCCGAUGUCAGAUUAGCUAGUUGGUGAGGUAAAGGCUCACCAAGGCGACGAUCUGUAGCGGGUCUGAGAGGAUGAUCCGCCACACGGGAACUGAGACACGGUCCAGACUCCUACGGGAGUGAGCAGUGGGGAAUUUUGGACAAUGGGGGCAACCCUGAUCCAGCCAUGCCGCGUGAGUGAAGAAGGCCUUCGGGUUGUAAAGCUCUUUCGGCCGGGAAGAAAUCGCACGGGCUAAUACCCUGUGUGGAUGACGGUACCGGAAUAAGAAGCACCGGCUAACUACGUGCCAGCAGCCGCGGUAAUAC